UAAUACGGAGGGUGCAAGCGUUAAUCGGAAUCACUGGGCGUAAAGCGCACGUAGGCGGCACGUUAAGUCAGGUGUGAAACCCCCGGGCUCAACCUGGGAAUGGCAUUUGAUACUGGCGUGCUCGAGUCUGAGAGAGGGAGGUGGAAUUCCAGGUGUAGCGGUGAAAUGCGUAGAUAUCUGGAGGAACACCGGUGGCGAAGGCGGCCUCCUGGCUCAUGACUGACGCUGAGGUGCGAAAGCGUGGGGAGCAAACAGG
rnacentral:rRNA from 1 species